GAUGAACGCUGGCGGCGUGCCUAAUACAUGCAAGUCGAGCGAACGGACGAGAAGCUUGCUUUUCUGAUGUUAGCGGCGGACGGGUGAGUAACACGUGGACAACCUACCUAUACGACUGGGAUAACUUCGGGAAACCGGAGCUAAUACCGGAUAAUAUUUUGAACCGCAUGGUUCAAAAGUGAAAGACGGUCUUGCUGUCACUUAUAGAUGGAUCCGCGCUGCAUUAGCUAGUUGGUAAGGUAACGGCUUACCCAGGCAACGAUGCAUAGCCGACCCCAGGGGGACGAUCCACAGCUGGGAACUGAGGAUCGGUCCAGACACCUGCGGGCGGCCGCGGUACGGACUCUUCCGCGAUGCACGAGUGCCUAACGUUGCAACGCCGCCUGAGUCAUGAUGGUCCUCUGAUCCUAAAACGCUGUUAGUAUGAAAGUUCUUAUGUGCAUGUAACUGUGCACAUCUUGACAGUACCUAAUCAGAAAGCCACGGCUAACUACGUG
rnacentral:rRNA from 1 species